CGUGUGCUUACAAGUAGUCAGAGCCCGUUAAUGGGUGAUGGCGUGCCUUUUGUAGAAUGAACCGGCGAGUUACGAUUUGAUGCAAGGUUAAGCAGUAAAUGUGGAGCCGUAGCGAAAGCGAGUCUGAAUAGGGCGUUUAGUAUUUGGUCGUAGACCCGAAACCAGGUGAUCUACCCUUGGUCAGGUUGAAGUUCAGGUAACACUGAAUGGAGGACCGAACCGACUUACGUUGAAAAGUGAGCGGAUGAACUGAGGGUAGCGGAGAAAUUCCAAUCGAACCUGGAGAUAGCUGGUUCUCUCCGAAAUAGCUUUAGGGCUAGCCUCAAGUGAUGAUUAUUGGAGGUAGAGCACUGUUUGGACGAGGGGCCCCUCUCGGGUUACCGAAUUCAGACAAACUCCGAAUGCCAAUUAAUUUAACUUGGGAGUCAGAACAUGGGUGAUAAGGUCCGUGUUCGAAAGGGAAACAGCCCAGACCACCAGCUAAGGUCCCAAAAUAUAUGUUAAGUGGAAAAGGAUGUGGCGUUGCCCAGACAACUAGGAUGUUGGCUUAGAAGCAGCCAUCAUUUAAAGAGUGCGUAAUAGCUCACUAGUCGAGUGACACUGCGCCGAAAAUGUACCGGGGCUAAACAUAUUACCGAAGCUGUGGAUUGUCCUUUGGACAAUGGUAGGAGAGCGUUCUAAGGGCGUUGAAGCAUGAUCGUAAGGACAUGUGGAGCGCUUAGAAGUGAGAAUGCCGGUGUGAGUAGCGAAAGACGGGUGAGAAUCCCGUCCACCGAUUGACUAAGGUUUCCAGAGGAAGGCU
rnacentral:rRNA from 1 species